GUCCACACCGUAAACGCUGUCUACUAGCUGUUUGUGUAUUUAAUACGUGAGUAGCGAAGCUAACGCGCUAAGUAGACCGCCUGGGGAGUACGGCCGCAAGGUUAAAACUCAAAUGAAUUGACGGGGGCCCGCACAAGCGGUGGAGCAUGUGGUUUAAUUCGAUGCAACGCGAAGAACCUUACCAGGACUUGACAUCCAGAGAAGUUACCAGAGAUGGUUUCGUGCCUUCGGGAACUCUGAGACAGGUGCUGCAUGGCU
rnacentral:rRNA from 1 species